AGUAUGCUGCUGGAAUCCAGUAUCCACACAUGCAAGACUCAAGGUCUGCAUGCUCCUAGGAACCAGAAUUGGCAGCUGCUGGGGCUGAGUCCCCUCAGUUUCUAGUCCCAGCUGGGCAUUGCAUAUCUCUGCAGAUGAGAGCCCUCUCACCUGAUGGGGAGACCCAGCUGCAGGUGCAAAUUUAAGUUGGAUAGCAAUCGGCUCUAAAGUUUGUACACACUUUCACAUCUAAUUUCAUAGCUGGUUGGAGCUUUUUAUGGUAUGUUUAGGUACUUUGCACAUGGAGCUGGUCUCAAAGUAAUUGAGCAAUUAACUAGUUCAUUUUAUGUACCUGUAAUGUAAGGCGGGGUGGGCUAAGAUGCAGGAAACCUUGAAUUAAGUAUUCAUGUGAAACAUUUUGGAAACUUUAAGAAGUAUUACAGUCUUUUAAAUCAUGCAGUACACCAUGAGUUUAUUCUUGAACAACUAACACAGAUGUAAGUCUAACUACUGCCUGUUUCUGUAAACUAGUCAAAUAAAUGGUUAUAUUUAAAGAUUUUUUUUUCUUGUUUGUCGUACACUUUUUCUCCCUGCUUCCCUGUUUCUGUGGUUAUUAGCACUUACAUUCUUUUAUAUGGAUUCAACUCUCUUCUCAAUCAUUAUGAUCUCCAGUAUGGUAGGAAGGGCAGUAGAUCCAUGUGUAAAUUUUCCAACUCUAUGUAGUACAUGAGAUCUCCAAAAGCAACUUGAGAAAAGUGAAGAAACCAUUAUCGCCUAAAAUCCUGGGUAGAUUAUUAUGAAUAUCUGUGUUCCAGAACUCAUAAAGGUAGCAGCUUUGGGACUGUGAAUGUGUUCAGCUUGGAAUAUAAAUUUUUCAAACUUCCGAACAGCAAUAACUCAGUUGAGUGUUUCACAAAAUUUCAGUCUUUCAGAACUUAAAGGCAGGCAGGCAAUUCAAGGAGUCCAUUUUUCAGAGCUUUUGUUUCUAGACUUGUGUGUGCUAUGCAGCAUUUUGGGGAAAUGACCUAGUUUUGUUUCUGAAAUAAUUGAAAUGACUGUAAAUUUAUUUUUUUAAUGGAAAAAAUUGCUUCCAAAAAUGUAGGUUCUGUGUUAAAACAGUUUGGAACAAAAAAACCAAGAUGUGAUCUUAGUAGAAUGUACAUAAUUAAAAAAUGCACUUUUAAUUCUGAAGCUGCACUGUCACUAAAUACAUUUGUGAAAUGUAAGGAUGGAGAACUGUGGCAUUGAAAGUCUUGUACUUGAGACUAAAACUUGUGAACAUCAUGAAAAUGUGAAGCUAUGCCUUAUACUGUGUAGAUGCUGUUUGCAUUAUUUGCAUCUAGCUCUGCAUGUAACUGGUUUGAACAUUGAAGUUGAAGUGGCUUUCAUGUACAUAUCUGUAUCAUAUUUAGAUCAUCAUUGUUGUAGAUUUAUUGACUAGAUGAAUCGCACUUCUGCCUUUUUGUACAGCAAAACCUGAAAUAAACCUGUAAAUAGUGAA